UACAGAGGGUGCAAGCGUUGUUCGGAAUUAUUGGGCGUAAAGGGCGCGUAGGCGGCCUUCUAAGUCAGACGUGAAAUCCCCCCGGCUUAACCUGGGAACUGCGUCUGAUACUGGAGGGCUUGAGUAUGGGAGAGGGAUGUAGAAUUCCAGGUGUAGCGGUGAAAUGCGUAGAUAUCUGGAGGAAUACCGGUGGCGAAGGCGGCAUCCUGGACCAUUACUGACGCUGAGGCGCGAAAGCUAGGGGAGCAAACGGG
rnacentral:rRNA from 1 species